GACGAACGCUGGCGGCGUGCUUAGCACAUGCAAGUCGAACGGAAAGGCCCUGCUUUUGUGGGGUGCUCGAGUGGCGAACGGGUGAGUAACACGUGAGUAACCUGCCCUUGACUUUGGGAUAACUUCAGGAAACUGGGGCUAAUACCGGAUAGGAGCUCCUGCUGCAUGGUGGGGGUUGGAAAGUUUCGGCGGUUGGGGAUGGACUUGCGGCUUAUCAGCUUGUUGGUGGGGUAGUGGCUUACCAAGGCUUUGACGGGUAGCCGGCCUGAGAGGGUGACCGGCCACAUUGGGACUGAGAUACGGCCCAGACUCCUACGGGAGGCAGCAGUGGGGAAUAUUGCACAAUGGGCGGAAGCCUGAUGCAGCAACGCCGCGUGCGGGAUGACGGCCUUCGGGUUGUAAACCGCUUUCGCCUGUGACGAAGCGUGAGUGACGGUAAUGGGUAAAGAAGCACCGGCUAACUACGUG
rnacentral:rRNA from 1 species